UGGGGGAUAUUGCACAAUGGGCGAAAGCCUGAUGCAGCGACGCCGCGUGGGGGAUGAAGGCUUUCGGGUUGUAAACCUCUUUCGCUAUCGAACAAGGCCCGCUUAGGGUGGGUUGAGGGUAGGUGGAGAAGAAGCGCCGGCUAACUACGUGCCAGCAGCCGCGGUAAUACGUAGGGCGCGAGCGUUGUCCGAAAUUAUUUGGCGUAAAGGGCUUGUAGGCGGCUUGUUGCGCCUGCUGUGAAAACGCGGGGCUUAACUUCGCGCGUGCAGUGGGUACGGGCAGGCUUGAGUGUGGUAGGGGUGACUGGAAUUCCAGGUGUAGCGGUGGAAUGCGCAGAUAUCUGGAGGAACACCGAUGGCGAAGGCAGGUCACUGGGCCAUUACUGACGCUUAGGAGCGAAAGCAUGGGUAGCGAACAGG
rnacentral:rRNA from 1 species